ensembl:lncRNA
AAAGAAAACCCAGAGCAGGGGAAGUGACAAGAAGCCCAAACGAGCUCAGCAGAAAGCUCACACGGCUCAGUCUCAAAUUCCAGAAGACCUCCGGUUAAGCGAACAGGCGAGGGGCAGUGAAUGCAACUGAGGGACUCUGGAGAGACUACUCCUCAGUGUGUUGUGAAGGCUCCACUAUCCUCUGUGCUCUAGUAGCUGUUACCCAAGCCGAUGGGAAAUAACCAAUCCACUUCCUGACAGACGCCCCUGAGAUGCGUCCUUGAUAAUUGGAAGCUGUUCCAUCCUCUAACUCUAAGAAGUC